rnacentral:piRNA from 1 species
UAGAAGUAACCAGAUAUGACCCGUUAGGA